rnacentral:rRNA from 1 species
UACGGGGGGGGGCAAGCGUUGUUCGGAAUUACUGGGCGUAAAGGGCUCGUAGGCGGCCAACUAAGUCAGACGUGAAAUCCCUCGGCUUAACCGGGGAACUGCGUCUGAUACUGGAUGGCUUGAAUCCGGGAGAGGGAUGCGGAAUUCCACGUGUAGCAGUGAAAUGCGUAGAUAUGUGGAGGAACACCGAUGGCGAAGGCAGCCCCCCUGGGCUAACACUGACGCCUCAUGCACGAAAGCGUGGGGAGCAAACAGG